AGCAGUCGCCGCGGUAAUACGAAGGGUGCAAGCGUUAAUCGGAAUUACUGGGCGUAAAGCGUGCGUAGGCGGUUUGUUAAGUCUGCUGUGAAAUCCCCGGGCUCAACCUGGGAAUGGCAGUGGAUACUGGCAAGCUAGAGUGUGUCAGAGGAUGGUGGAAUUCCCGGUGUAGCGGUGAAAUGCGUAGAGAUCGGAAGGAACAUCUGUGGCGAAGGCGACUAUCUGGGCCAACACUGACACUGAGGCACGAGAGCGUGGGGAGCAAACAGGAUUAGAUACCCCGGUAGUCCCUGUCUCUUAUAC
rnacentral:rRNA from 1 species